AUUAGUUUGAUCAUGGCUCAGAAUGAACGCUGGCGGCGUGCUUUACACAUGCAAUCGAGCGAGGCGGCCCGCAAGGGCCAGUCGAGCGGCGAACGGGUGAGUAACACGUGGAUAACCUGCCCAGAGGUGGGGGAUAACCCGGGGAACUCGGGCUAAUACCGCAUGAUACCAGAGGUCAAAGGGGGCUCGCAAGGGCUCUCGCCAUUGGAGGGGUCCGCGUCCGAUUAGCUAGUUGGUAGGGUAAUGGCCUACCAAGGCGACGAUCGGUAGCCGGCCUGAGAGGGUGAUCGGCCACACUGGAACUGAGACACGGUCCAGACUCCUACGGGAGGCAGCAGUGGGGAAUUUUGCGCAAUGGGCUAACGCCUGACGCAGCAACGCCGCGUGGAGGAUGAAGGUCUUUGGAUUGUAGUACCUGUCAGCAGGGAAAAAGCGACUCGGACUAAUACGCCGGGGAGUUAAUUGU
rnacentral:rRNA from 1 species